AUUUUUUUAAGAUUUUAAAUUAAAAUAAAACCUGCUCAAUGUAGAUCAUAUAAUCAAUAGCUGCAAAAUUUUUGUACUAAGGUAGCAUAAUCAUUAGCUUUUUAAUUAAAAGAUAGAAUGAAUGGUUUCACGAAAUAUAGACUGUUUCUAAAAAUAUAUUUAAAUUUUAAUAAAAGUAAAAAUACUUUUAUUUUUAAGAAAGACGACAAGACCCUAAUAAACUUAUAAUUUUACUGGGGCGGUAUAAAAAACAAAUCUUAUUUUACAAAAUAUACUUAACUUUAAUAAAUAAAUUUAGAUAAAGUUACUAUAGGGAUAACAGCGCAAUUUUAAUUAAAAGAUCUUAUUUAAAUUAAAUAUUACGACCUCGAUGUUGAAUUAAUUUAACUUUAUAAAGCAAAAUUUAUAAAAUAAGGUCUGU
rnacentral:rRNA from 1 species